GAGGACACAAGCCUCAACAACCUUUGCUCGGAGAUACAACACUCCAAGACUUCAACCAAGGAAACACAAGUUCCUUCUUACAACACAAGGGACACACUUCCCUUCAAGUGCACAAAAACACUUAGCACUCAAACAAGACACUUCUUUAAGAGUAGAUAUGAGUAAAAAGUAUACGCUCAAGAUCGCAACAACUUUCGACAAGAAUUUGGCUCUCAAAAGCUUAUGUAAUGAAUAUAAAAUGAUAAGCAAUAAAGUAUGCAAGCUUUAGC
rnacentral:lncRNA from 1 species